GAUGAACGCUGGCGGCGUGCUUAACACAUGCAAGUCGAACGGAAAGGCCCUGCUUUUGUGGGGUGCUCGAGUGGCGAACGGGUGAGUAACACGUGAGUAACCUGCACUUGACUUUGGGAUAUCUUCAGGAAACUGGGGCUAAUACCGGAUAGGAGCUCCUGCUGCAUGGUGGGGGUUGGAAAGUUUCGGCUGUUGGGGAUGGACUCGCGGCUUAUCAGCUUGUUGGUGGAGUUGUGGCUUACCAAGGCUUUGACGGGUAGCCGGCCUGAGAGGGUGACCGGCCACAAUGGUACUGAGAUACGGCCCAGACUCCUACGGGAGGCAGCAGUGGGGAAUAUUGCACAAUGGGCGGAAGCCUGAUGCAGCAACGCCGCGUGCGUGAUGACGUCCUUCGGGUUGUAAACCGCUUUCGCCUGUGACGAAGCGUGAGUGACGGUAAUUGGUAAAGAAGCACCGGCUAACUACGUG
rnacentral:rRNA from 1 species